UCGAACGCCCCGCAAGGGGAGUGGCAGACGGGUGAGUAACGCGUGGGAAUCUACCGUACCCUACGGAAUAACGCAUGGAAACGUGUGCUAAUACCGUAUACGCCCUACGGGGGAAAGAUUUAUCGGGGUAUGAUGAGCCCGCGUUGGAUUAGCUAGUUGGUGGGGUAAAGGCCUACCAAGGCGACGAUCCAUAGCUGGUCUGAGAGGAUGAUCAGCCACAUUGGGACUGAGACACGGCCCAA
rnacentral:rRNA from 1 species